GGACACUGGCCGCGGCCGGACCGCCGCCGCUGCUGCAACUUGGGUAAGAUAUUGAAGAGCAGAUCGACCGUGAAGGCCGCCGAGAGAAGCAGGAGGAUCAGAAAUCUGUUCCUUCUACUCCACAUGCUGUGUCUCAGCCGUUCCUUCCCCAUUAGACGCAGUAACUCAAGCCACAAGAAAGUUCAAAAUAAGUUGCCCUCACAUCCAGAGUGAGUGCAGAAUAUUCAUCUGCCUGCAGUGCCAUGAGAUGAUGAGAUAGCCAAGCCUCAAACGGCAUCCUGAAAAGCAAUUUAUGUUAUUCAGUGUAUCCUUUUAAAGAUUUGAUUUAUCUAGUAAAUGCAAACAGUGAAAAGUGCAAAAAGCCAUGGAUUCUGGAUAGGGAGCUAGUUAAGAUUAGCUCAUGGAAAUUCACACUGCUCAAAAUGUCGAUGUUCGAUGAUCAGAUUAAAUUUAAAAUGUUUUUAUUCAAUGUAUAAAUAUCUUAUUUGCAAUAUUGUUAUUUGGGAAAAUAGAUCUAUUAUGUUAGGCAAAUGGGACAAGAGAGGUUUAUCAUCUGAAAAAGAAGCAGUUAAAAGAAAGUUACUUCUGCAAAGGAAUUCUACUCAGUUUAUAAGGACAAUUGUACAAAACAGUUACCUUUUCAUAGGUUAGAAGCCCUGCUACAAUCUAGUUAAAGAUUGGGUGUUUCAUCGCCAUAAGACUUAUUCUGAAGCACAUGGAAGCAAAAACUUGUAUAUCUGUUACGUGGUGUGUGCAAAUUGUUAUAUCAACAUUUAGCUUUUGAUAAGUCAAUCUUGGCCCAUGUUGUGGUGAACUGCUUAUACCUGUCUGGACAUGCCCCCCCGCUGACUGCUCCUGUGGCCCCUCCCAUUGACCAUGGCUCCUCCCACAGACCCCGGUAUAAAGGCGAUUGAGGCCUGAGCCCUGCCCUCAGUCUCCAGGAUGUAGUGUGGUGGUCAACUACUGCUUGUUCUUUCUUCCAGUCAAUAAAAGCCGUUAUCUCGC